GUGCCAGCCGCCGCGGUAAUACAGAGGGUGCAAGCGUUAUCCGGAAUUACUGGGUUUAAAGGGUGCGUAGGCGGUUUGAUAAGUCAGUUGUGAAAGGCAGUCGCUUAACGAUUGGAUUGCAAUUGAUACUGUUAGACUAGAAUUAGGUGGAGGUAUGCGGAAUGUGACGUGUAGCGGUGAAAUGCUUAGAUAUGUCAUAGAACACCGAUUGCGAAGGCAGCGUACUAUACCUUAAUUGACGCUGAGGCACGAAAGCGUGGGUAGCGAACAGGAUUAGAUACCCUGGUAGUCCACGCCCUAAACGAUGUCAACUGGUUGUUGGGUGCAUUAGUACUCAGUAACGAAG
rnacentral:rRNA from 1 species